GAUGAACGCUGGCGGCGUGCUUAACACAUGCAAGUCGAACGGUGAAGGCGGAGCUUGCUCUGCUGGAUCAGUGGCGAACGGGUGAGUAACACGUGAGCAAUCUGCCCCUGACUCUGGGAUAAGCGCUGGAAACGGCGUCUAAUACUGGAUACGAGCUGCGAAGGCAUCUUCAGCAGCUGGAAAGAAUUUCGGUCAGGGAUGAGCUCGCGGCCUAUCAGCUUGUUGGUGAGGUAAUGGCUCACCAAGGCGUCGACGGGUAGCCGGCCUGAGAGGGUGACCGGCCACACUGGGACUGAGACACGGCCCAGACUCCUACGGGAGGCAGCAGUGGGGAAUAUUGCACAAUGGGCGAAAGCCUGAUGCAGCAACGCCGCGUGAGGGACGACGGCCUUCGGGUUGUAAACCUCUUUUAGCAGGGAAGAAGCGAUAGUGACGGUACCUGCAGAAAAAGCGCCGGCUAACUACGUG
rnacentral:rRNA from 1 species